UACGUAGGGUGCGAGCGUUAAUCGGAAUUACUGGGCGUAAAGCGUGCGCAGGCGGUUUUGUAAGCCAGAUGUGAAAUCCCCGGGCUCAACCUGGGAAUGGCAUUUGGGACUGCAAGGCUGGAGUGUGGCAGAGGAGACUGGAAUUCCUGGUGUAGCAGUGAAAUGCGUAGAGAUGUGGAGGAACACCGAUGGCGAAGGCAGCCUCCUGGGCCAGCACUGACGCUCAUGCACGAAAGCGUGGGGAGCAAACAGG
rnacentral:rRNA from 1 species